rnacentral:misc_RNA from 1 species
AGGUGGUGAUGCCAUGGCAGGACAGCUCCACCGCAUCCAGCAGGGAGUAUCUUUAAUUGUGGGAACUCCUGGAAGGCUCAUUGACCUUUUAACGAAACACGAGAUUGAACUGGAUACUAUUUCAAUUCUUGUUCUUGAUGAAGUUGAUUGCAUGCUCCAAAGAGGUUUCCGUGAGCAGGUGAUGCAGAUUUUUACAGCUCUGUCUCAACCUCAAGUGUUAA